AGAGUUUGAUCAUGGCUCAGAUUGAACGCUGGCGGAAUGCUUUACACAUGCAAGUCGAGCGGCAGCGCGGGGCAACCUGGCGGCGAGCGGCGAACGGGUGAGUAAUGCAUCGGAACGUGUCCAUGUCGUGGGGGAUAGCCCGGCGAAAGCCGGAUUAAUACCGCAUACGCCCGAGAGGGGAAAGUGGGGGACCGCAAGGC
rnacentral:rRNA from 1 species